rnacentral:rRNA from 1 species
UACGUAGGAGGCAAGCGUUGUCCGGAAUUACUGGGCGUAAAGCGCGUGUAGGUGGUGGGACAAGUCUGCUGUGAAAGCGCCUGGCUUAACCGGGCGAGGUCGGCGGAAACUGUCCGACUCGAGGACGGUAGAGGGGGGGUGGAAUUCCCGGUGUAGUGGUGAAAUGCGUAGAGAUCGGGAGGAACACCUGUGGCGAAGGCGGCCCCCUGGGCCGUGACUGACGCUGAGGCGCGAAAGCUAGGGGAGCAAACAGG